UUCAUAUAUGGGGUCCUGGAGAUAAAAGGCUACCACUGUUGGUGGCAGGGCUCAUGGACAAGGAACUAGAACCUCCAGAAAAUACAAUAGUGAAACAGCUAGAGGACCGGCAGAAGCCCUUUCCUGGGCAGCUGCCUUGGGAAGCAGAGGUCACUGAUGUUUCCUAAACAAUGAGUGUGCGCUGCCGUCAUUUACUAGAAUAGGAGCUCACUGGCGCCGGCUGGAUUUGACAUCAACCCUUUACAGAAGGUAACACUGCCUCCACUUUAAAGGUGAGGAAGGGGUAACUUACCUAAAGUCACAGAAUUCCAGAGUAGAACCCACGCGCUGGGGCGGGAAAUGCCCUUACACCUCAGGCUCUGCUGUGCCUCCUGUCACCUGGCCAGCUUGUGAAAAGGCAGUCUCAGAAUCAGCAGAAUCUGGGAAUGAGCAACUCCCAGGAGGGGCACACUCCAGGCUCUAGGACCACGCUGCUUUCUUUAACCCACAUUCCUCUGGGCCACGUAAGCUGGUGUUGCCCUGAAUCUUCAAUGCAGCCUUCCCACCAGGAUGCUGGAGCCUGCUGCAAAACACCCUGACAGCCCUGGCAGCUCUGCUGUGCAUUGUCUCCCUUUCCCUAUUGCUAGGCUGAGUGUUUAAACCCUAAACAUCAGCUUUGAGUCACAAAGACUGGCAGUGGCCUGCUUCAGUGAGGCCCAGAAACCUGUGGAGAAAGACACCUGCUCCCCCCGGAUCGGGAUAAGACUUCGAUGUGACUCUGUAUCUCGGAGGGACUGAUGUGAUGAAAUCUCCCUCUUAUGGCCUCUUGCGUAAGGUGGAGGAAAUUUUCUGCUUAGAUCAGCAGAGGAAUUAGGAGUUUGCGCCACAAGGGCCAAUCUCAGUGGGAAACAGGAAGGAGCAGCAAGCAGCUAACUCAGGUACAUCAAGGACGAGAAGGUGGCUCUGGGCGGAAGCUUGAGGUCUGCUUUGGGAACACAGAAGUAAGGAGAAAGGAUGGCUGCUGACCCUGGGACCUUGUGCGUACGUUGUGGACAUGGACAAGGAAUUGAGGAGGCUGGAAGGUACCAGUCUUACCCAAGAGACAGCAGGAAUGCCAGUGUGUGCACAGGGCUCAGAAAAAGCUUGGUGACCUCCAGUGUAAGGGAAUCAAGUCUUUCAAAGAUUUAACUUGGGCUAAAGUAGCAAACAAAAGAAAGGCAUUCUGGAGAUGUUAGCGGAUAUUUCACAUUUAAGAAGAAAUGAACUUUUCCCCUUCUGUGGACAUCACUGGUGAAGUGGCAAUGGCCAUAAUGACGUUCAGUGUUUUUGUGACUUCUGACCAAAGGGGCAGCCCUAAAAUACAUGCCAGCGCACCUUCCUCUGUUUGCAAGAUUGUCUUCUCUCUGUUUUCAAAGAGCUAAGACAGGAGUAAAACUCUUCUAAGAUGAUGAAGUUCAGGUUGUGCAAGGACAUGAAAAAGGUCAGUGAGCUGGCAAGACCGUCUAGGUUUACAGGAAGAAAUAUGGCAGCUACGUGGAACAGGUGCGGCAGGAAAAGGCUGCAGAAACAACUGUCCGUGUGAGCACUCGGCCCAGCAGGUGGUUGUUGCUGUGCUAAAUCUGGACAAAGACCACAAAAAGAUCCUUGAACAGAAAGCCAAGUUCUGACAAGUAGGAAAGGCAAACGGCAAAGAAUCAACUCAGGAGAUACAGGAUGAAAAUAAUCUUACAUACAGCUUCCCCAAAACUGCUAAAAUGUAAAACAAUAAAAGAAGAAAAAAACAGGGACUGAAGAAACACAGAAACACAGACUGAAGUCUGAUGGAAAAGUGCCCCAUGGGUCAAAGCUAACGUAGACCUUUUUCUCCAAACGGAAUAGGCGUCUCAGAGUUACACACUGAUCAGCAAGGGUUCAGGCAGAAAUUAUUGGAACUUUAAAUUUUUAAAAUCUAAAUGGAGCUCUCGUUCCAUCCAUGAUCAUGUGUCAUGGCCAGUUCAUGAGAUGUCCUCUAGCAAGAUUAGGAAUUGCAAAAUGCAGAGGGGACAACAGUGAUGUGCUGAGUCCUCAGUCCCCUAGAGCUUUCAACAAGAUCUGAACCACCAAGGUUCACACGUUUCUGACUCAUUAGCUAUAUCCACUUUAACAUAAUAUAGCCAAUGUGGACACAUGUGUUAAAAAUAUCCCUGCAUAGAAACAAUGGAUCAAAGAUCAUAUUAGGCAAAUAAGUACAUGCAAAUGGAACGGUGACACUGACAUUUCCCUAACAAUAGGUUCUCUUUGGCCAUAUGACAAGCUGAAAACAGUUACUAAGUAUUCACAUAGGAUAGGAAAUCAAACCAAACAGUUAAAGUUUCUUUCAACAAAACUCUUAAACAAAAAAAAUUUAAAUUUUCUAUCACUUACAUGCACCUUACCUUACAUAUUUAUUGUUUGUUAGAGUAUUAGUGGAUACUAUGAAGCCAUCAUAAUUUAAAAGAUACUUUAAAUUUUUUCUUGCAUCAUCUAUAUCUCAG
ensembl:lincRNA